rnacentral:rRNA from 1 species
GCGGCCUCUGGACAGUACUGACGCUGAGAUGCGAAGCGUGGGGAGCAAACAGGAUUAGAUACCUGGUAGUCCACGCUGUAAACGAUGUCGAUUUGGAGUUUGUUGCCUAGAGUGAUGGGCUCCGAAGCUAACGCGAUAAAUCGACCGCCUGGGGAGUACGGCCGCAAGGUUAAAACUCAAAUGAAUUGACGGGGGCCCGCACAAGCGGUGGAGCAUGUGGUUUAAUUCGAUGCAACGCGAAGAACCUUACCUGGUCUUGACAUCCAUAGAAUUCUGCAGAGAUGUGGGAGUGCCUUCGGGAACUAUGAGACAGGUGCUGCAUGGCUGUCGUCAGCUCGUGUUGUGAAAUGUUGGGUUAAGUCCCGCAACGAGCGCAACCCUUAUUCUUUGUUGCCAGCGAUUUGGUCGGGAACUCAAAGGAGACUGCCGUUGAUAAAGCGGAGGAAGGUGGGGACGACGUCAAGUCAUCAUGGCCCUUACGACCAGGGCUACACACGUGCUACAAUGGCGUAUACAAAGGGAAGCGAAGGUGCGAGCUGGAGCGGAUCUCAUAAAGUACGUCUAAGUUCGGAUUGGAGUCUGCAACUCGACUCCAUGAAGUCGGAAUCGCUAGUAAUCGUAGAUCAGAAUGCUACGGUGAAUACGUUCCCGGGCCUUGUACACACCGCCCGUCACACCAUGGGAGUGGGCUGCACCAGAAGUAGAUAGCUUAACCGCGAGGGGGGCGUUUACCACGGUGUGAUUCAUGACUGGGGUGAAGUCGUAACAAGGUAACCA